GGAUCGGUAGUUCAGUUGGUUAGAAUGCCGCCCUGUCACGGCGGAGGUCGCGGGUUCGAGUCCCGUCCGGUCCGCCA
rnacentral:tRNA from 6 species